rnacentral:rRNA from 1 species
AGUGAACGCUGGCGGUAGGCCUAACACAUGCAAGUCGAACGGCAGCACAGUAAGAGCUUGCUCUUACGGGUGGCGAGUGGCGGACGGGUGAGGAAUACAUCGGAAUCUACUUUUUCGUGGGGGAUAACGUAGGGAAACUUACGCUAAUACCGCAUACGACCUACGGGUGAAAGCAGGGGAUCUUCGGACCUUGCGCGAUUGAAUGAGCCGAUGUCGGAUUAGCUAGUUGGCGGGGUAAAGGCCCACCAAGGCGACGAUCCGUAGCUGAUCUGAGAGGAUGAUCAGCCACACUGGAACUGAGACACGGUCCAGACUCCUACGGGAGGCAGCAGUGGGGAAUAUUGGACAAUGGGCGCAAGCCUGAUCCAGCCAUACCGCGUGGGUGAAGAAGGCCUUCGGGUUGUAAAGCCCUGUUGUUGGGAAAGAAAAGCAGCAGGUUAAUACCCCGCUGUUCUGACGGUACCCAAAGAAUGAGCACCGGCUAACUUCGUG